GCCUCUCUCCACUUCGGAAAUCUCGGUAGGCCCGCAAGAUGAGCAUGAUCGACGUGAUCACGCGGGUGGACGCCAUCUGCAAGAAGUACGAGCGGUACGACACCGACAAGCACGGCGACCCCUUCUCGCGCCUCUACGCUGCCGUGGACGCCGGGAUCGACGCCGCCAUCGAGGUCUCCGGUCUCCCCUCCCUUGGUCUUCCCUUGGCUGCCUUAAAGACGGUUUGCCGCCACUGGUGAAACCAUGGCCACUCAUGCACGGUGACUCCGUGCGUCAGAAAUCGGCGAGGGCCGCGAAGAAGAAGAAGAACCGGGCGGCCUCGGUGACCCUGGACGCCGACGUACGGCGGACCAAGGCGCGGCUCCUGGAGGUGGUGGUCAAGCUACAGAAGGUAGCCGCCAGGAAGGUGAACGGGCUCUCGCCGGAGGAGAAGGUGUCGCGGGCUGGUCUGGUGGCCGCGCUGCCCCACAGGAUCCAUGCCAUCCCCGACAGCCACGGCGGUGUAACACCCGACACUGGCUCACCACGUGAUGGGCCUCGAUGUCGCAUGGCCCAACUCGGAGCAGCCUAAAGGCAGGACCACAACGGCAGGAGAGGUAUUGAAGACAAAUCAGAAAUCGGAAACAGGGUUCGUCCCUUCGCUCGUCUUCCUCCACGGAGCGGCAUAUCGGUGCGUCACCAGCUCCUCACGUCCCGGCUCACCAUCGGCGGCUACGGGGACGUGACAGUUGGUAUCAGAGGUAGUCGAUUCUCGACAUUUUCCUCGGUUUCGUCCUUGGUGCUCGCGACGAUGGCUGAGGCGGCACAACGGGAUGAAGCGCGCUGGGAGUUGGUUAUGAAGAAGCUGAGUUGUCUGGUCCAGAAGAUGGAGUCGUUGGUGGGGGGUCAGGCAGAUCUAGCAGCAGCGGUGGCGCAGCAAGCGGCGGAGGAUCUGCCCGUUCUGCCUCAGUUCGUUCGAUCUGCGGGCAAUACCACGACGCCAGUCUUUGACGAGGGACCUGUCUUCGACGACGAGCUGCCCAUCGACUUCGGUUCCCAGGGGAAGACCGCGUCCAUGGCGGCAGCAAGCGCCAUGGAGGUCCCCGGAUCCACCCCGACGCCCUCCGUCCCCUUCUACGACAGCGUCGACAUCUUCCACCUCAAUAGUGAACCCGUCUACGACGUCUACGAUGACGACGAGGAUGGCGAUUCGUCGCAGCAGGCCGUGGUGCUCGCUGCGGACAAGAACUACUACCCCACCGCUGAAGAGAUGUACGGGCCGGGCAUGGAGGCGCUUGUCAUGGACGAGGUCGAGCAACCGCUGGAGCAGCCCAUCGUCGCAGACGCGCUUGCGCUGCUCGAGGAGAUGCGAGGCAAGGGGUACCAUGCUGACGUGAUGAGGUACGAUGCUGUCAAGCUAUUCGAUGAAAUGGCCAGGGCCAGGGUCAAGCCCGACGAGCGCGUGUAUUCCCUCACAAUCAGGGCCUUGUGCAAGCUGCGCGAUGCAGACAGGACGGUCCAGGUGCUCGGGGAGAUGAUGGAGGUCGGCUUCAGGCCAUGGGUCUUGACAUUGACAUACAACUUUGUGGUGGCUGUGCUCGUGAAGGCAGGAAGGAUGGAGGAGGCACUAAAGGUGAAGGAUCAGAUGUUGUUGGUUGCUGGAAAGAAGAUGGAUGUGGUUCUCGCGACAACAUUGAUGCAUGGGUAUUGCUUGCUCGGUGAAGUUGGGAAAGCGUUGGAUUUAUUUAACGAGGCUGUCAGGGAUGGUGUGACAGCAACCAAUGUGACAUAUGCGGUUCUGAUAAAAGGUUGUGAUGCAGAGGGGAUGACAGAUAAGGCAUAUGAGCUAUGUCGUCAGAUGAUAGAGCAGGGAUUGCUGUCAAGCACACAUGGGUUCAAUUUGGUGAUAACAGGUCUGUUAAGAGACAAGCGGUGGGAGGAUGCCAUCAGCUUGCUUGAGGUUAUGGUUGAUAUACCUUCUGCCGGUACUGCGGCUAAGUGUGAAGAGCUUGAUAUCAUGACAGAAUGUGUUGCUCAAUGCAAUCUUGUCACUGCUGUGUCCUCUGAUUUUCAUCCUGAAUUCAUCUGUCUGUUUGUCAAAAAAUUUGGUGGCUCUUUGGCAGUAUCAAGCAAGAGAGUAUUGUUUCUCAGUUGGGGCUACAUGGAGGAGUAUGAGGUUCUGAUUCCAUUUCAGUUGCUUCAGGUUCGUGAGAGCCAAGUAAAUGAUGUUUGCCAGGACAUGGGUGUGGGAGAUAAGUGCUUGGCUGCCAUUCAUGACUUUGGCGAUGUUCAGGGUGUAGAUGAAGCAAAGGAGGAGCUUGUUGAGAUAGUGAGCUGUCUGCAUGGUUCACUGAACUCCAAGAAGCUUGGAGCAAAAUUGCCCUGGGGUGUCCUGCUUGUUGGCCCUCCAGGAACUGGAAACACUCUUCUAGCAUGGGCAGUUGCAGGAGAGGCUGGAAUUCCAUUUUUCUAUGUUUCUGCUAGUGAGUUUGUUGAAGCUUUUGUUGGAAGAGGUCUUGCCCGUGUCAGGGAAUUGUUCAAGGAAGCCAAAGAAGCUGCUCCAUCCAUCAUUUUUAUUGAUGAACUUGAUGUUAUGGGUGGAAAUAGAGGUAGAAGUUCUAACGAUGUGAGGGACCAAACUCUAAACCAGCUAAUUGCAGAAAUGGAUGGUUUUGACUCGGACAUGAAAGUUAUUGCCAUGGCUGCUACUAACAGGCCAAAAGCACUGGAUGUUGCUCUUUGUCGGCCUGGUCACUUCUCCAAAAAGGUGUAGUCUUGGAGACUUGGUCCUUUUACUCUAGGAGUAAGUGGUCUGCAACUUGGGCCAUACAUGAGGAGACAAUGGGAUCCUGGUAUUACAAAUGGGCAAUUGGUGAUGAGCUGCGAGGAGCUAGCUUUGCAGAUCGCAGUGUUGCUUGGGGACAAGCAACAUUUCAUCGGGGCGAUAAUGUAACACCCGACACUGGCUCACCACGUGAUGGGCCUCGAUGUCGCAAGGCCCAACUCGGAGCAGCCUAAAGGCAGGACCGCAACGGCAGGAGAGGUAUUGAAGACAAAUCAGAAAUCGGAAACAGGGUUCGUCCCUUCGCUCGUCUUCCUCCACGGAGCGGCAUAUCGGUGCGUCACCAGCUCCUCACGUCCCGGCUCACCAUCGGCGGCUACGGGGACGUGACAGGCGGCAGCGCCACAGACCAGGACGCCGGCUGGAAUGCUCGGCCGGGGAUCGAGCUGGACGAUUAUUCAGCUGAAAGAUUAGAAGAGGGGUACUUCCAGACAAGUGAGGAGUCAGAGCAGUUCAGACGAGAGUACGAGAUGCGGCGAAUGAAGCAGACAGCUUGUCAUCAGAGUUCAGAUGGGAUGUGCAGGAUGAAGGGCUGGACUUCGUCUCGCAAGGUCUGGACACGCUCAAGAAUCUGGCCGAGGACAUGAACCAGGAACUGGAUAGGCAGGUCCCUCUCAUAGAUGAGAUUGACACCAAGGUGGAUAAAGCUAGUUUAGAGAUCAGGAGGACUAAUGUCAGACUAAGACAAACUGUCAACCAGUUUCGGUCAACCAGGAACUUCACAAUUGAUAUCAUCUUGAUCUGCAUCAUUCUUGGCAUUGCAACAUACCUCUACAACAUUCUCUCCCAGUGAAGUGACUCUUGGCCGAUCUAAAUGAUGCGCUCGGUAAAUGCAUUUUCAAACAACUGUAUAGCUAUGGCAACAUCAGCGUCGCCGGCGCAGAAAUGAUUUUAGGCAGCUGCAUUUUUGCAGAGCCCUUAGCAUGUCUCCAGGAUAACCUAUGUCAGCAUUUGCUGUAAAGAAAAGGAACCUCACAAAAACAAAGGACAGACAACAGUCUUUUUGUCCAAAAGGCUGUCCGUAACUUGUAUUGCUGUCACAAGAACCAUACGCAAAGGAAAGUUUUGACUGUC